UCAAACUUGGUCAUUUAGAGGAAGUAAAAGUCGUAACAAGGUUUCCGUAGGUGAACCUUCGGAAGGAUCAUUACCAUUUGCAGAACCCACCCUCGCACUCGCGAGGUGGGUGCACUGUAUACCCUUGACUUUAAGCACCUUUUGUUUCCUCGGCGGGUUCGCCCGCCAACGAGGACCCCAUAAACUCUUUGCAGUAGCAGUGUUUGUCUGAAAAACAAUUGAAUAAUCAAAACUUUCAACAAUGGAUCUCUUGGUUCUGGCAUCGAUGAAGAACGCAGC
rnacentral:misc_RNA from 1 species